ensembl:lncRNA
CGGUCUCGGUGACGCCCCCAGCGCAGCGCGGCUGGGGCAGAGCAAGACUUGACUCCGGGGAUCCCAGGCUCUAACGCCCCCCUUUUCCGCCCCAUCAAGCUGCAGCUAGAGAGGCACCAGGACAGAACACUUCCGAGCCCCGGGGAGGUAAAUGCUCGAGGCUUCGCUACGCCCCAGCUCUCCGCCUCUGAGAGCCUUGUGGCCGCCAGGGGGCGCUGCAGGACGACACGCGGGUCACUCCUGAUCGCGAUUUCCUGCCUUGGCUUUGGCCAAGCCCCAGGCCGGCCCAAACCUGGGUGAGGCCUCGGGUGUCUUCAUUGGGGGCCACUCCUAACUUGAAGGGAGACACUUGCUUAUGGCGAAGAGCACACUUUGUAACAAUUCUUCUCGUGGUUUCGCUGUGUCCUAAAAAAUAAGAAGAGCUCAUUCGAGGGUCUUGGACAGGGCAGGAGUAUUACAGCCACAGGUCUUGAGUGCCAGCAUUGCACCAAUCGUUGUGUAUCCCAACAGACAUUUACUGACCACCUACUGUGUACCUCACACUGUGCUAGUUGCACGGGAGAGGGUGAAAUUAAUAAGAUGUGGUCUUGCUCUUGAGCAGUUCCUUAUCCAGCUGGGACGGUCAGGGAAGGUUUCCAGGGUCCUGAGACCCUGUCGUUAACCAGGGGUGUAAGGGACAGAGGGAAGAACAGGUACCAAGAUCAAAGAUAGCACGUGGCUAAUAUGGCCUCUCUGGGUCACGGGUGUGGAGUGUGGCCUGGCAGGGCAGAAGGGUGGGUCAUAAAGAUGGUAAAAGCCCUGGAGGAGGGUCCUGGUCUUACUUGGUUUGGAUUGGGUGUGAAGAAUGGGCUGGAAAGCUGCGAGCUGGUGCUGACUGGGUGAGAGGGAAGACGAGGUCGGCGUCCACAGCUGAUGGAUGCCCUGCACCCACCCUGAGAUCGAGGCGGGAAACACGAGUGUGGGGACGGCCCUGAGUGCAGCGUGGAGGUCACCGAGUCUAAGGAGCCUGGGAAUCAUCCCAGCAGAGCUGUGUGGUAGAGGCGUGAGUCUGGAGCUCAGGAGAGACGGGCUGUGGGCGGGACUGCAGGAACCUGGCCUUGACCAUAGCAGUGGAAGGCGCUGAAGUCUCCCAGGAGAUAGGGGUGAGCAGAAGGCUGUGGAAGAAACACAGACGAGAGAAGCAUGAGAAUAGGGAGACAGGGAGCAGAAGUGAUCAGAACUGAGUGCUGCGAAGAUUGCGUUGGCCAAAGAGUUCAGAAUGCAAUGGAGGGAGCUGCCUCAGGCGAGGAGAGUCAGGCAGGGGGAGGAGGGUCCCCGAGUGGGGAAGACCGGUGUCUGUGCAAGCCGCCUACUCUGGAGCUCACCUUACCAGCUCCCAGGAGGCUCCGACUGAGGCUGUAGCAAUGACAAGCACAGCAUCCAAGCUGGAAACAGGACCAUCUUCAGAGAGCCUGCCUCUCUGAAGAGCAGAGUUGGCAAAUUCACCACCUCUGUGGCUUCCAAAUGUUUUCUCCCAGCACCGAGGAUCAACUCCAGGGCCUUGCACGUGCUGGGAAGUGCUCUGCCACUGAGUCAUGCCCAGCCCCUUACUUCAGGUUUUCCAAAUAUGUAAAUGUACAGUGUAAACUGUUCCAAAAGUAAAUAAAAAUAUUUGUUGUUUAAUUUUAUAA